GGAUGUGUUAUUUUAGUGUUCCCUUUAUUUUUUGAGCAGUGUAUAUAGGAAACUUGAGCAGCAUUGUGAAUUGUAAACCUUGUAAAUCGUCAGAAAAUUAAAGUGGUUAAAGUGUUUUGAUGUGUGCAGAACCUGACGUUACUACUCUUCAGCAGUUUUAUAAACAAAUAUAUUCGCUUAAUCUAAAUUAAACGUCAGAUCAUGUCUGACACCAUACCCCCCUUCAGACUCCACAAGCCUACGUCCCUGGCUCUCCAACGCGUAAAACGGAUCAAUCCACACAAUAUUCUAUCAAGCGGAAUAUGAAUCACCCACUCUAUCGUAGCCUAGUUGACGAAAUUUAAAUACGAUCACGAGGUCACUAUAUAAGAGAGGACAAUAAGAAAAAAACAUAUACCAAGUUGUCAUUGGGGUGAAGUUAUAGGGAGAAAGGAGCGCAAGAACGAGAACUUCACACAGUGUUCGACAUGGAGAGGUCCGUUAAACUUGCUUUAGUAAUUGUAGCUAUUUCCAUGCUGGUUUCUUGCAACCCAACCGAAGCAUGGUACAAGCAAGUUUCCGGCCCAAGCUACUACUCGGUGGGCAGAGCAUCGGGUUUGCUGUCCGGGAUCCGGAGAUCACCAUAUGUUAGGAGGUCCGAGACCGAUUCGGUGGCGGACAGCGGAGAGUCUACGGUGAACAGCAUCCUCUCGGAACCGAGCAGUCGACUGAAUUCGGUCCUUAAAUCUAUGGCUAUUUGUAUCAAAGAUAUCACACCGAAUCUGCAGAGCUGCGAACUUGUUCAGGAUGGCUCAAGGUUAUUUCAAUGUAAAGCAGACGUGUUCGUAUCGCUCGACUCAUUGGACUGUGUGGAAGCAUGAUCAGCACCGCGAACGUGGAUGGACUGAUAAUGUUCGAUGGAAGCGAAUGUUUCUCAUUUUCACAAAUAUGGCACAAAUGUUGUGAGAAUGUCUGUUUUAGCGUACUGUCAUGCGCAGUCUGACUACUACUUCCCCUAACGGGUAAUACCCGUCUGUUAAAUCAUAUUAUGUCAUGCAUAGCAAUGUACAUAUGUAUUCAUUUCUUUGUUGAAUGAAUAAAUACAUCUUAUAUUGCA